GUUACAGCUAGUAAAUAAAGAAAGAUAGUUAUAUUUUUCUUAGUCCAAUCAUUCCGAUUUGAACUAUUUAAAAAUCCCCGUCUAAAAAUAUGCAAUAACGGUCAGUAAUCAGCGCGGUGAUUCCCACACCUUAUCGAAAAGUUAAUAUAAUAUACUAGGCUUUGUAUCAAUUCACAUUUUCCUCUGCACUAGGACAAGUAUCAACGUGAAGCUUUAGUUUUCGAAUUAUAUUUUUUCUUUAUUCGUUUUAAAAAUGAAAAAAUUAUCUCAAACCAAGAACAAAGAUCAAUUCGUCGCAAAUGUAUAUAAAAAACCUACGAAUCUCCUACCACCAUUACCGCCUCCUAACACAUCGUCUCCGCAGCCUACGGGACCAAAUAAAGUGCCCCAAACUGGUGACUCUAAUGUGAGAUAUGCGUAGAAGUGAGAUAUGAAGCCUGAAGCACGGUGAUGAACCCUUCUGUAAUCAUAUAACUGUAUAUGCUGGAAAUAAAUGCAUGAUUUAAAAUAUA
rnacentral:misc_RNA from 1 species